AUUCCAGCUCCAGUAGCGUAUAUUAAAGUUGUUGCAGUUAAAAAGCUCGUAGUUGGAUUUCUGAUAGUAGCGUUGGGCCCGCCCGGGUUACCGGUGUGAGUGCCUGUUCGCUCCUUUCAUCCUUCUAGAGAACGGUUCUCUCCUUCAUUGGCAGUGGGAUCGCAAUCUAGAUCUUUUACUUUGAAAAAAUUAGAGUGUUUAAAGCAGGCUUGUGCUAUGAAUACAUUAGCAUGGAAUAAUAAUUUAGGACUUUAGUUCUAUUUUGUUGGUUUCUAGAACUGAAGUAAUGAUUGAUAGGGAUAGUUGGGGGUGCUAGUAUUCAGCGGCCAGAGGUGAAAUUCUUGGGUUCGCUGAAGACUAACUUAUGCGAAAGCAUUCACCAAGGAUGUCUUCAUUA
rnacentral:rRNA from 1 species